UACGUAGGGGGCAAGCGUUGUCCGGAAUCAUUGGGCGUAAAGCGCGCGUAGGCGGCCCGAUAAGUCUGCUGUGAAAGUCCAGGGCUCAACCCUGGAAUGCCGGUGGAUACUGUCGGGCUAGAGUUCGGAAGAGGCAAGUGGAAUUCCUGGUGUAGCGGUGGAAUGCGCAGAUAUCAGGAGAAACACCUAUAGCGAAGGCAGCUUGCUGGGACGACACUGACGCUAAGGCGCGAAAGCGUGGGGAGCGAACAGG
rnacentral:rRNA from 1 species